rfam:Strongyloides venezuelensis genome assembly, scaffold: SVE_scaffold0000079
UCUCUGGUAGUAUAGUGGUGAGUAUCCGCGCCUGUCACGUGCGAGACCGGGGUUCGAUUCCCCGCCAGAGAG